GUGCUUGGUUUGGCAGCACAUACAUUAAAAUUGAACCAUACAGAGAAGAUUAGCAUGGCUCCUGCGUUAGGAUGACAUGCAAAUUCGUGAAGUAUUCUAUAUUUUU